ACACACAUGUACUCUUGUAACACGGGCGCUAAACCACUCCCUCAUCCUCUUGUCCUGAGAACAACUCUUUGACCCAGCAUGCCUUGCGCGCCUCGGGUCACAUGACCGCGACCGUCCAAUCGGCAGUCUUUAUUAAUCCCAAGCAGGAAGCGACCAGACACACACGUUGCUGAGCUGGGAAAUGUUUGUUGCUACGAGGAGCCGCCUACCCGUCGAAACUGUCGAGAAAAGCGUCUAACUAGUUACCAUUUUGCUGUGGAAUCAGCCGCUUAUGAUGGCGAGCUAAGCCCGAGCCUGAACCCGGUUAAAUGCUGGAGCCUUCCGAAGGACAUUUCCCAUCCUGUACACUGUCCAUGCUGGUAGGAGGCUCCUGUAGCCUACAGACUCUACUGACAACAAACCCAUAAACCAGAGCUCUUCACACAUUCA